AGCAGCCGCGGUAAUUCCAGCUCCAAUAGCGUAUAUUAAAGUUGUUGCAGUUAAAAAGCUCGUAGUUGAAUUUCGGGAUCAAUUAAUUUGGUCGUGCCCCUGGUACGUACUGAUUUUAUUGGUUUCUCCCUUCUGACGAACCAUGAUGUCAUUAAUUUGGUGUCGUGGAGAAUCAGGACUGUUACUUUGAAAAAAGUUAGAGUGUUUAAAGCAAGCUAACGCUUGAAUACAUUAGCAUGGAAUAAUGAAAUAGGACGUUUGAUCCUAUUUUGUUGGUUUCUAGGAUCGACGUAAUGAUUAAUAGGGAUAGUUGGGGGCAUUAGCAUUCAAUUGUCAGAGGUGAAAUUCUUGGAUUUAUUGAAGACUAACUACUGCGAAAGCAUUUUGCCAAGGAUGUUUUCAUUAAUCAAGAACGAAAGUUAGGGGAUCGAAGACGAUCAGAUACCGUCGUAGUCUUAACCAUAAACUAUGCCGACUAGGGAUCGGAUGAUGUUAAUUUUUUCAAUGACUCAUUCGGCGC
rnacentral:misc_RNA from 1 species